UCGAACCGUGUGCAGGAAAACCGCGUGUACGAUUCGGAGGGAGGGGGAGCCGAAAUACCCCUCCCUAU
rnacentral:misc_RNA from 1 species